UAUACUUUGUAUACGUGGUAGGGGAGCGUUCUGUAAGCCGAUGAAGGUGUGUUGAGAAGCAUGCUGGAGGUAUCAGAAGUGCGAAUGCUGACGUGAGUAACGACAAAACGGGUGAAAAACCCGUUCGCCGAAAGACCAAGGGUUCCAGUCCAACGUUAAUCGGGGCUGGGUGAGUCGACCCCUAAGGCGAGGCCGAAAGGCGUAGUCGAUGGGAAAAUGGUUAAUAUUCCAUUACUUCUGUGUAAUGCGAUGAGAGGACGGAGAAGGCUAAAUCAGCCUGGCGUUGGUUGUCCAGGUGAAAGGAUGUAGGCAUGUAUCUUAGGCAAAUCCGGGGUACUCUAUGCUGAGAUCUGAUAGCAAGCUGUACUUGUACAGCGAAGUGGUUGAUGCCAUGCUUCCAGGAAAAGUCUCUAAGCUUCAGUUACACAGGAAUCGUACCCGAAACCGACACAGGUGGUCAGGUCGAGUAGACCAAGGCGCUUGAGAGAACUCUGCUGAAGGAACUAGGCAAAAUGGUACCGUAACUUCGGGAGAAGGUACGCUGUUGUUGGUGAUGGAACUCGCUUCCUGAGCUGACGACAGCCGCAGAAACCAGGCCGCUGCAACUGUUUAUUAAAAACAUAGCACUCUGCAAACACGAAAGUGGACGUAUAGGGUGUGAUGCCUGCCCGGUGCUGGAAGGUUAAUUGAUGGGGUUAGCGUAAGCGAAGCUCUUGAUCGAAGCCCCAGUAAACGGCGGCCGUAACUAUAACGGUCCUAAGGUAGCGAAAUUCCUUGUCGGGUAAGUUCCGACCUGCACGAAUGGCAUAAUGAUGGCGGCGCUGUCUCCAGCAGAGGCUCAGUGAAAUCGAAAUCGCUGUGAAGAUGCAGUGUACCCGCGGCUAGACGGAAAGACCCCGUGAACCUUUACUGCAGCUUGACACUGAACUUUGACCUUACUUGUGUAGGAUAGGUGGGAGGCUUUGAAGCUGGAACGCUAGUUCCAGUGGAGCCGUCCUUGAAAUACCACCCUGGUAAUGUUGAGGUUCUAACUCUGUCCCGUGAUCCGGGACGAGGACCGUGUCUGGUGGGUAGUUUGACUGGGGCGGUCUCCUCCUAAAGAGUAACGGAGGAGUACGAAGGUGCGCUCAGCGUGGUCGGAAAUCACGCGUAGAGUAUAAAGGCAAAAGCGCGCUUAACUGCGAGACCCACAAGUCGAGCAGGUACGAAAGUAGGUCUUAGUGAUCCGGUGGUUCUGUAUGGAAGGGCCAUCGCUCAACGGAUAAAAGGUACUCUGGGGAUAACAGGCUGAUACCGCCCAAGAGUUCAUAUCGACGGCGGUGUUUGGCACCUCGAUGUCGGCUCAUCUCAUCCUGGGGCUGAAGCAGGUCCCAAGGGUAUGGCUGUUCGCCAUUUAAAGAGGUACGCGAGCUGGGUUUAGAACGUCGUGAGACAGUUCGGUCCCUAUCUACCGUGGGCGCUGGAAAUUUGAGAGGAUCUGCUCCUAGUACGAGAGGACCAGAGUGGACGAACCUCUGGUGUACCGGUUGUGACGCCAGUCGCAUCGCCGGGUAGCUAUGUUCGGAAGGGAUAACCGCUGAAAGCAUCUAAGCGGGAAGCCUACCUCAAGAUAAGAUUUCCCUAGGACUUUAUGUCCUCUAAAGAGCCGUUCGAGACUAGGACGUUGAUAGGUUGGAUGUGGAAGCAUAGUGAUAUGUGAAGCUGACCAAUACUAAUUGCUCGUGAGGCUUGACUAUACAACACCCAAGCAGUUG
rnacentral:rRNA from 1 species